AUUGAACGCUGGCGGCAGGCCUAACACAUGCAAGUCGAGCGGCAACGGGAAGAAGCUUGCUUCUUUGCCGGCGAGCGGCGGACGGGUGAGUAAUGUCUGGGGAUCUGCCCAAUGGAGGGGGACAACUACUGGAAACGGUAGCUAAUACCGCAUAACGUCGCAAGACCAAAGUGGGGGACCUUCUGGCCUCACACCAUCGGAUGAACCCAGAUGGGAUUAGCUAGUAGGUGGGGUAAUGGCUCACCUAGGCGACGAUCUCUAGCUGGUCUGAGAGGAUGACCAGCCACACUGGAACUGAGACACGGUCCAGACUCCUACGGGAGGCAGCAGUGGGGAAUAUUGCACAAUGGGGGAAACCCUGAUGCAGCCAUGCCGCGUGUGUGAAGAAGGCCUUCGGGUUGUAAAGCACUUUCAGCGGGGAAGAAGGCGAUGGCGUUAAUGGCGCCAUCGAUUGACGUUACCUGCAGAAGAAGCACCGGCUAACUCCGUGCCAGCAGCCGCGGUAAUACGGAGGGUGCGAGCGUUAAUCGGAAUUACUGGGCGUAAAGCGUACGCAGGCGGUCUAUUAAGUCAGGUGUGAAAUCCCGGGCUCAACCUGGGAACUGCAUUUGAAACUGGCAGGCUAGAGUCUCGUAGAGGGGGGUAGAAUUCCAGGUGUAGCGGUGAAAUGCGUAGAGAUCUGGAGGAAUACCAGUGGCGAAGGCGGCCCCCUGGACGAAGACCGACGCUCAGGUACGAAAGCGUGGGAAGCAAACAGGAUUAGAUACCCUGGUAGUCCACGCUGUAAACGAUGUCGAUUUGAAGGUUGUGGCCUUGAGCCGUGGCUUUCGGAGCUAACACGUUAAAUCGACCGCCUGGGGAGUACGGCCGCAAGGUUAAAACUCAAAUGAAUUGACGGGGGCCCGCACAAGCGGUGGAGCAUGUGGUUUAAUUCGAUGCAACGCGAAGAACCUUACCUACUUUUGACAUCCAGAGAACUAGGCAGAGAUGCCUUGGUGCCUUCGGGAACUCUGAGACCGGUGCUGCAUGGCUGUCGUCAGCUCGUGUUGUGAAAUGUUGGGUUAAGUCCCGCAACGAGCGCAACCCCUAUCCUUUGUUGCCAGCGAUUCGGUCGGGAACUCAAAGGAGACUGCCGGUGAUAAACCGGAGGAAGGUGGGGAUGACGUCAAGUCAUCAUGGCCCUUACGAGUAGGGCUACGCACGUGCUACAAUGGUGCAUACAAAGAGAAGCGAUCUCGCGAGGGUCAGCGGACCUCAUAAAGUGCGUCGUAGUCCGGAUUGGAGUCUGCAACUCGACUCCAUGAAGUCGGAAUCGCUAGUAAUCGUGGAUCAGAAUGCCACGGUGAAUACGUUCCCGGGCCUUGUACACACCGCCCGUCACACCAUGGGAGUGGGUUGCAAAAGAAGUAGGUAGCUUAACCUACAGGAGGGCGCUUACCACUUUGUGAUUCAUGACUGGGGUG
rnacentral:rRNA from 1 species